rnacentral:siRNA from 1 species
UCUUUCUCCUCAUGGUGUUCC